rnacentral:lncRNA from 1 species
GCCUUAGCCUUUCAUUAGUUUGUGCCUUAGUUUAGGUUAUUUAUAUGUUAUUUAUAUCUUAUGUAUUUAGUUUAUAUUUAGAUUUCCAUCUUGUGUUUAAGUAUUUGUUAGUCUGUCCUUCAUCUCCAUUCUAUAAGUCUACCUAUUAGUCCCUUUAUCUCAUUUCCUAUAUCUGUCUACCAUCUAUUUAGGUAUUAUCUAUAGACUUGACUUCAUUUACUCUUCAAUCAUAAUCAUUUUGCUUUUACUCCUAUGUUUUAGGCUGUUAGAUAUACGGUGC